ensembl:lincRNA
CUGGCUGUUGCUAGGAGACGAGGGUGGAAGCAUCUCUUGUGCCGUGCACAUCUCCUCAUCCCACCUCGAAUUUCACCUGCAGAGCUGAGACGAUGGCCAUGAAUGCUGCCACCAUCCCACCUCACGUGUGCACCUCAUAGUCGCUACUUUUCCUCAGGACGUUUUCCAAAGCCACAAGAAUGAACACAGCCCACACUGAAGCAGUCUGGGAGGCUGGGCCUGCAGAGGAGAUACUGGCCCUAUGGAAGGCAGUUGGUGGGCAAAAGCCCGGCUUCCACUUUGAGGGGACGCCUGUGGGGCACCCUGAGGCCCAGCCCUGCUGGAUAGAUAGAUAGGUAAGAAAGAAGAAAAGAAGAAAAGAAAGAAAACAAAGAACCGGUAUCCUAUUGUUUCUGUUUCUCUGAAGAACCCCAGUGAACACAGAUUGUGAUCCCUCAUUAGAAUCUAAGUAUCAGGAGAACAGAAACCUCGUCUUUCAUGAUCAUAAUCCUAUAAACAACCAAAAAAAUUAACACCUGGGUCAUUAGCUCAGAGGAAUCCAAGAUGGAAAUGGCCAGAGGAUGGAACAGGUUGUUUUCCUGGAUGAAGCCUCCAGGUAAGCAUGGACCAUUCCUUCAGGAUAGAGGCUGGUAAGUAGGAACCAUUCCUCCACAGUGUAGCCAGGUAAGCAGGAACCAUUCCUUCAGGAUGCAGCCAGGUCAGUACGAAACAUUCCUUCAGGAGGCAGCUAGGUAAACAUGGAUCAUUUCUUCAGGAUGGAGCCAGAUAAAUGUGAACCAUGUCUUCAGGAUACAGCCAGGGAAGUGUGGCCCAUUCCUUCAGUGUAAAGCCAGGGAAGCGAGGACCAUUGCUUCAGGAUGGAGCUGGGAAAGCAUAGACCAUUCCCUCAGGAUGGAGAGGAUGGAGCCAAGUAAGCACAGACCAUUCCUUCAGGAUGCAGCCAGGUAAGCACAGACCAUUCCUUCAGGAUGCAGCCAAGUAACUGUGGAUCAUUUCUUCAGGAUGGAGCCAGGUAAGCAUGAACAUUUCUUCUGAAUGGAGCAAGGUAAGCAUGAACCAUUUCUUCUGGAUGGAGCCAGCUAAGCAUGGACCAUUCCCUUAGGAUAAAGCCAGGUAAGCUUGGACCAUUUUCUCAGAAUGCAGCCAGGUAACCGAGGACCAUUCUUCCAGGAUACAGCCAGGUAACUGUGGA